CAGCAGCCGCGGGAAUACAGAGGGUGCGAGCGUUAAUCGGAUUUACUGGGCGUAAAGCGUGCGUAGGCGGCUAAUUGAGUCGGAUGUGAAAUCCCCGAGCUUAACUUGGGAAUUGCAUUCGAUACUGGUUAGCUAGAGUGUGGGAGAGGAUGGUAGAAUUCCAGGUGUAGCGGUGAAAUGCGUAGAGAUCUGGAGGAAUACCGAUGGCGAAGGCAGCCAUCUGGCCUAACACUGACGCUGAGGUACGAAAGCAUGGGGAGCAAACAGGAUUAGAUACCCCAGUAGUCCCUGUCUCUUAUAA
rnacentral:rRNA from 1 species